AAGAAGGUAACUUUGGAGUUGGCUCUUGUCUAUGUUCCUUGGAACAGGACGUCACAGAGGGUGAGAAUCCCGUGCGAUGAGAUGCCCAAUUCUAUGUAAAGUGCUUUCGAAGAGUCGAGUUGUUUGGGAAUGCAGCUCUAAGUGGGUGGUAAAUUCCAUCUAAAGCUAAAUAUUGGCGAGAGACCGAUAGCGAACAAGUACAGUGAUGGAAAGAUGAAAAGAACUUUGAAAAGAGAGUGAAAAAGUACGUGAAAUUGUUGAAAGGGAAGGGCUUGAGAUCAGACUUGGUAUUUUGCGAUCCUUUCCUUCUUGGUUGGGUUCUCCGCAGCUUACUGGGCCAGCAUCGGUUUGGAUGGUAGGAUAAUGAUUAAGGAAUGUGGCUCUACUUCGGUGGAGUGUUAUAGCCUUGGUUGAUACUGCCUGUCUAGACCGAGGACUGCGUCUUUGACUAGGAUGCUGGCAUAAUGAUCUUAAGCCACCCGUCUUGAAACACGGACCAAGGAGUCUAACGUCUAUGCG
rnacentral:rRNA from 1 species